AGUGAACGCUGGCGGUAGGCCUAACACAUGCAAGUCGAACGGCAGCACAGUAAGAGCUUGCUCUUACGGGUGGCGAGUGGCGGACGGGUGAGGAAUACAUCGGAAUCUACUUUUUCGUGGGGGAUAACGUAGGGAAACUUACGCUAAUACCGCAUACGUCCUACCGGUGAAAGCAGGGGAUCUUCGGACCUUGCGCGAUUGAAUGAGCCGAUGUCGGAUUAGCUAGUUGGCGGGGUAAAGGCCCACCAAGGCGACGAUCCGUAGCUGGUCUGAGAGGAUGAUCAGCCACACUGGAACUGAGACACGGUCCAGACUCCUACGGGAGGCAGCAGUGGGGAAUAUUGGACAAUGGGCGCAAGCCUGAUCCAGCCAUACCGCGUGGGUGAAGAAGGCCUUCGGGUUGUAAAGCCCUUUUGUUGGGAAAGAAAAGCAGCAGGUUAAUACCCCGCUGUUCUGACGGUACCCAAAGAAUAAGCACCGGCUAACUUCGUG
rnacentral:rRNA from 1 species